CUGUAUUGAUCACAGCUGCGUUAAUAACAGAGGAAGUCAUUCAGAAAAACAAGUGGCCAACAGGGGAAAGUUGUGGUUCCCUAAACAGAAGACUUCAUUCUGGAAAAACAGCCUUUACUCCAAGGAAUGCAGUCAUCUUACCUCAUUGGAGUUGUUAUAGAAAAACUCAUCCUCAUCACCAGAAUUCUCUCAAGGGGACCUGACUCCUGUCUUAUCACUCAUGUAAAAUCAAGAUCUUUUCUACUGAAGCUGACCUACAUGACAGAAGUCAAUGCCUAAGGGUAUAAAAUGAAAGAGCAUGAAGUUGAAAAUGAAGAUGUCUAAUUGUGGAGAUGUGCAGUAGAGAAUAUUGUGCCAAGUAAAAGCUGAGAGUUAUAUUAAGAAGUCUGCUGGUCUUGAGACGAACUCUGACAGCUUACAAAAAUAGUGUGAUAUUUCCUUGAAACGAUUAUGGUGUGAGAAUAUUUGUUUUAACA